AUGGGCGAGCCUGAUGCAGCGACGCCGCGUGAGGGAUGACGGCCUUCGGGUUGUAAACCUCUUUCAGCAGGGACGAAGCGCAAGUGACGGUACCUGCAGAAGAAGCACCGGCUAACUACGUGCCAGCAGCCGCGGUAAUACGUAGGGUGCAAGCGUUGUCCGGAAUUACCGGGCGUAAAGAGUUCGUAGGCGGUUUGUCGCGUCGUUUGUGAAAACCAGCAGCUCAACUGCUGGCUUGCAGGCGAUACGGGCAGACUUGAGUACUGCAGGGGAGACUGGAAUUCCUGGUGUAGCGGUGAU
rnacentral:rRNA from 1 species